AAGCUUGCUCUUCUACCGCCUGAGGAUGGAGUAGUCCUCCCGUCAGGAGGAUGCAGCAAUAAGGAACCAUCUUGGAAACAGAAAGCAGCUCUCAUCAGACAAGUGAACCUGCACAUGCCUUGAUUUUGGGAUUCCCAGACUCCAGAACUAUGGUGCUUGUAUUAGUCCAUUUUCACACUGCUGAUGAAGGCAUACCCGAGACUGGGAAGAAAAGGAGGUUUAAUGGACUUACAGUUCCACGUGGCUGGGGAGGCCUCACAAUCAUAGCAGAAGAAUUAUAUGCUGGAUAUACAAGAGACUCAUGACCCAAACUGGGACAACAGGGAAGGCUUCCUGGAAGAAGAGACAUCUGAGCCCAGACCUGGAAGAAUAAGAGCCAGGUCUCCUUUCUGAAAAGUCUCACUUCAAGCCAUGGUGUAUAAAGACACAAAGCUGACUUACUGCUGGGUACGUGUGUCCAACAGAAGCACUGUGUCUACCAAUGUCUAUGGAGAGGUCCUCUUCAGUGGUUUUCAAGUACACAGGAUUGUCAAAGUU